UACGGGGGGGGCAAGCGUUGUUCGGAAUUACUGGGCGUAAAGGGCCAGUAGGCGGCCAACUAAGUCCGACGUGAAAUCCCCAGGCUUAACCUGGGAACUGCGUCGGAUACUGGAUGGCUUGAAUUCGGGAGAGGGAUGCAGAAUUCCAGGUGUAGCGGUGAAAUGCGCAGAUAUCAGGAGGAACACCGGUGGCGAAGGCGGGUCUCUGGGCCACUACUGACGCUGAGGAGCGAAAGCGUGGGGAGCGAACAGG
rnacentral:rRNA from 1 species